AUUUGGGUGACAGGUGGAGGACAGAAAGCUGUCUGACAGACACCACCCUGGAGAAUGUGGACCAGGUCACAUCCAUCCUGGAGAGACUGCUGGGCUCCAAGGUGCCAGGGCCUUCCACAGGGGACCUCACUGGCCCCAGCCCCUGCCCCGGGAUGGCACCUGCACUCCAGGAAGCUGGCUCCCAGCCCCCAGUCACCGGAACUUCAGAGGCACCCGGAACUGUUGAAUGCCCCUGCACCCAUGGUGCUGAGAGACAGCCGCCUGCCCUGCCUGGCUGUCAGGGAGUGUUCUGGAAGACAGAGACCACGGCAUCCGGCUGUCAGCCCGGCGGGUGGGCAGGGGCCUUGGGGCUGGUGGUGCCAGCCCAGAAGUGGAGGGUGCCUGGCACGUGGGCUCUGCAGGGUGGCAACUGCACGUGCUUGAGCUGUGGGCUGGGGACUGGGGUUGGGGCUCAGGGCUCCUGGAGCCCAACCCUCUGCCUGGGCUCACCGAGCCUGGGAUCGUGAGGAGCUGCUACAGGCACCACCCGGGCUCCCUCUCAUGAGGCCUUGUCUCCCAGCAGCCGGGCCCCUGAGGAUGCCACAGCUCCUCCUCCAUGAAGCCCCAGAGCAGGAGCCGGAGGCCCGAGCCAGAGCCCAGGAGCAGACUGUGCCCAUUCAGUAACCUCCCCAGACUGCUGGGUCCUGCAGCAGGGGCCAACCCCCAGGGGACAUCCCAGGGCAGGCAGGGAGGGCAUGUGAGCAUGAGGUACCGGAGUGGCCUCCCGGCCCUCACCACACUCCCUGCCAGCAGCCACCUCACGCCAGGCAGGGUAGGAAGGAGAGGCCAUGCUGGGAACAAGAGGUGAGAGGUGUGGGGGCUGGGCCCCCGUCUGUACGUCUCAUCCCAGAGAGGCUCUGCUGCAGCCCUUCCGAGUGUUGGUGGUUAGCAGGGAAACCCCCAUCCCAUCGGAAGGCCUGGCUGCUCAGAACAGGUGAGAGCCUGGCAGAGCCUCACUCCAUUUCCUAACCCCAGGAUGGAGGGUGCAGCCUGGCCCGGGGCAGGCACCGGGGAGCUGCUCUGGGACGUCCACAGCCAUGUGGUCACAAAGCUCACGCAGAGGACCUACACGUACUGGGCCAUGGACAUGCACUGCACGUAUGGGGUCGGGCCCAGAGGGUUAUGAGUGUGAUUCCUGUGACUCUGCCCAGUGCUGGGGGCAUUUGCACAUCUAUGGAGGCCACCCAGCAUGUCCUGGCCUGCCCCAGCCUGGGAGCCCCACAUUCCACCUCACUGUGUUCCCUCAGAGGGGCCGGGACCCUCUGCCGCGGAGAGGCAAGUGGCGGUGAACUUGGUGUCCUUAGGCCCCUGUCGCUGAGCACGCAGCAGAGUCAGUGAGAUCUGCCGGCCCUGCCAGCUCCUCCUGAUCACCUGGCUCACCGAGGCCAGAGUGGGAGAGGCAGUGGUUCCAUGGAAGCAGCACCCCUGACUGUCAGAAGCCUGGGCGGUCAGAAUGGGGUGCUGCUGCCCACAGUGUAUCUCAGGGCCACCGACCACCCAGGCAUGGUGAGCUGUGGCUGGCACCCAGGGGUCUCCAUGGUUCCCUCCCUGCCCUUCCAGGGCCC
ensembl:lincRNA